CGUCCGUAAGGUAAUUCCCCACUGCCUGCCUGCUUGCUUCAACUCCCAACCAAAACAGCAGAGCAGCCGCCGCCGGCUGUUGACCCCGGCGCCACCAAUUAGCCACCGCCGCCGCCGCCGCCGCCGGGCUCCCUUCUCCUGCUCCCCGCUACCCACUCCAGUCCCCUCAGAAACAGUUAAUUCAGAUGAAAACCAAUGGAUCAUCUGCCAAGAGUCAGGAAAUCGGGUCAAAAAGAAAGUGGAAGAACCAACAUGAACAUACAGAGAAGCACAUCGCAUGGCAUUCCUUUGGGUACCAAGGCCACUAUCCGCAACAGAGGCCUGCACGGGACAAAAAGAACGGGGUAAUCACUUGUUUGGUCUGUGGCAAGGAAGGACAUUACAGUCGUAAAUGCCUGUGGAGAGAUAGGGCACAGUACCAGUACACAUGGUCUCAGUUGCUCAAGCUGUGACGAGUAUCAUGAGGAUGGAGAGUGCCGAUUGGGCGGUGUUAAAUGCUUUCUUUGUGAGUGUCAGGAUCAUUAUCUUGCUAAGUGCCCCUUGAAUUCAGUAUUGACUGAGGCAUUUCAGAGUCAGAGAGAGAACUUCCAAGCUGCUCUGCGGCUUGCACUAUCAAAACAACGCGACCCAUCAUCUACACCUCCCAAGUGUUCCGCAAAAUCAGAAGGAAAAGUACUGGCCGCCAACAAGCCUAAAUCGAUUGUCCGAUGUGUAAGGUGUGGUGAGGAAGGGCACAGGCGCAAGAAGUGUCCGUUGAAACAUCAAUCGUAGACCGUGCACAAGUCUAGUCCUUUGGUUACAGUAGACAACACAUCAACAUGAGUGGUUACAUGCUUCCGUUGCAAGGAAGAAGGCCACUGCGCCAAACGAUGCCCUCAGAAGCACCGGAAGCAUUAAGACUGCUCCACCAGGAGCUAUCGGUAUAGCAAACAGUGGUACUCAUAAUGACUAUACAUGGCAUUACAUUUUCAAUCACGCCGAGAAGCAGCUUGGGAAGAGAUCUUGGCACUGAAGAUACAACCAAGGGGGAAAGAUACUUACUGAGCUGAGCCAGACCUCCUCCCUUGACCAAAAAGUUACUGCACAGUUACUGUCUUUUUCUUGUGAUACUCUAGCGGUUGAAAGUUGUCAAGGAAGGGCAUUUAUAUCAUGUGUUUUCGGAAUGUCUUUUUCUGAGAUGAUGUUGAUGCCAAUUGACGAUCUGAUGAGAAGACAUUCCCAAGACGGGAUUCGCAGCCGCUUGCAUUGUGCAUGUUUGCUGGCAUAUUCAUUGGUAGUAAAUGCUUCUCCAUACUUCAUGUACUUGGUGAACAAGUGUACGGGAUACAUCUGGGGCAUCAGCAGACAGCACAGAGGAUGGAAAGUGGAAACUCGCCGUGUGUAUUCGAAUUAUCCGGCGUUCGUAUUUUGCUCACCAGGUUUCAUGGCUUGUCUGUAUAAGGGCUGAAACUGUGCGCUCUUGAGGGCUCAUCUUUGAGAGUGGGGUGUUUUGGAGCCCCUUUUCUGUUUUUUUUUCUUAAUUACAAAUCAUUUUUUUAAAAGUUUACAAAAUAUAUGAAAGUAUACACAAGUACUUAAGGAUGUAUUCUACAUGUGUGUAAAGUUUCAUGAUGAGAUACUUGAAGAGUUGAGCUCCACAGGAACAACAAAAAACAAGUUCAUGUGUAAA